rnacentral:rRNA from 1 species
GAUGAACGCUGGCGGCGUGCUUAACACAUGCAAGUCGAACGGUGAACACGGAGCUUGCUCUGUGGGAUCAGCGGCGAACGGGUGAGUAACACGUGAGCAACCUGCCCCUGACUCUGGGAUAAGCGCUGGAAACGGCGUCUAAUACUGGAUAUGUGACGUGACCGCAUGGUCUGCGUUUGGAAAGAUUUUUCGGUUGGGGAUGGGCUCGCGGCCUAUCAGCUUGUUGGUGAGGUAAUGGCUCACCAAGGCGUCGACGGGUAGCCGGCCUGAGAGGGUGACCGGCCACACUGGGAUUGAGACACGGCCCAGACUCCUACGGGAGGCAGCAGUGGGGAAUAUUGCACAAUGGGCGAAAGCCUGAUGCAGCAACGCCGCGUGAGGGAUGACGGCCUUCGGGUUGUAAACCUUUUUUAGCAGGGAAGAAGCGAAAGUGACGGUACCUGCAGAAAAAGCGCCGGCUAACUACGUG